rnacentral:rRNA from 1 species
AAUGAACGCUGGCGGCAGGCCUAACACAUGCAAGUCGAACGGAUCCUUCGGGAUUAGUGGCGGACGGGUGAGUAACGCGUGGGAACAUACCCUUUGGUACGGAAUAGCCUCGGGAAACUGGGAGUAAUACCGUAUGUGGUCGAGAGACGAAAGAUUUAUCGCCAAAGGAUUGGCCCGCGUUGGAUUAGGUAGUUGGUGGGGUAAUGGCCUACCAAGCCGACGAUCCAUAGCUGGUUUGAGAGGAUGAUCAGCCACACUGGGACUGAGACACGGCCCAGACUCCUACGGGAGGCAGCAGUGGGGAAUCUUAGACAAUGGGGGAAACCCUGAUCUAGCCAUGCCGCGUGAUCGAUGAAGGCCUUAGGGUUGUAAAGAUCUUUCAGGUGGGAAGAUAAUGACUGUACCACCAGAAGAAGCCCCGGCUAACUCCGUGCCAGCAGCCGCCGCAGUAA